CAGUAGCCGCGGGAAUACAGAGGGUGCGAGCGUUAAUCGGAUUUACUGGGCGUAAAGCGUGCGUAGGCGGCUUCUUAAGUCGGAUGUGAAAUCCCUGAGCUUAACUUAGGAAUUGCAUUCUAUACUGGGAAGCUAGAGUAUGGGAGAGGAUGGUAGAAUUCCAGGUGUAGCGGUGAAAUGCGUAGAGAUCUGGAGGAAUACCGAUGGCGAAGGCAGCCAUCUGGCCUAAUACUGACGCUGAGGUACGAAAGCAUGGGGAGCAAACAGGAUUAGAUACCCCAGUAGUCCCUGUCUCUUAUAC
rnacentral:rRNA from 1 species